rnacentral:rRNA from 1 species
GACGAACGCUGGCGGCGUGCCUAAUACAUGCAAGUAGAACGCUGAAGCGAGGAGCUUACUCUUCUUGGAUGAGUUGCGAACGGGUGAGUAACGCGUAGGUAACCUGCCUUGUAGCGGGGGAUAGCUAUUGGAAACGAUAGCUAAUACCGCAUAACAAUGGAUGACACAUGUCAUUUAUUUGAAAGGGGCAAUUGCUCCACUACAAGAUGGACCUGCGUUGUAUUAGCUAGUAGGUGAGGUAAUGGCUCACCUAGGCGACGAUACAUAGCCGACCUGAGAGGGUGAUCGGCCACACUGGGACUGAGACACGGCCCAGACUCCUACGGGAGGCAGCAGUAGGGAAUCUUCGGCAAUAGGGGCAACCCUGACCGAGCAACGCCGCGUGAGUGGAGAAGGUUUUCGGAUCGUAAAGCUCUGUUGUAAGUCAAGAACGGGUGUGAGAGUGGAAAGUUCACACUGUGACGGUAGCUUACCAGAAAGGGACGGCUAACUACGUG